UAGGGUUGCUAACUCAAUGGUAGAGUACUCGGCUUUUCUAGUUCCGGGUUCGAGUCCCGGGCAACC
rnacentral:tRNA from 2 species